AGCAUGUGGUUUAAUUCGAAGCAACGCGAAGAACCUUACCAGGUCUUGACAUCCCUGACAACCGAGAGAUCGGGCGUUCCCCCUUCGGGGGACAGGGUGACAGGUGGUGCAUGGUUGUCGUCAGCUCGUGUCGUGAGAUGUUGGGUUAAGUCCCGCAACGAGCGCAACCCCCGUUCUGUGUUGCCAGCGUAAAGUCGGGCACUCACAGGAGACUGCCGGAGACAAUUCGGAGGAAGGUGGGGAUGACGUCAAAUCCUCAUGGCCCUUAUGACCUGGGCUACACACGCGCUACAAUGGCCUGUACAGAGGGAAGCGAAAGAGCGAUCUGGAGCGAAUCUCACAAAACAGGUCUCAGUUCGGAUUGCAGGCUGAAACCCGCCUGCAUGAAGCCGGAAUUGCUAGUAAUCGCAGAUCAGCUACGCUGCGGUGAAUACGUUCUCGGGCCUU
rnacentral:rRNA from 2 species